GAACGCGAAGAACCUUACCUGGGCUUGACAUACACCAGACCGCUGCAGAGAUGUAGCUUCCCUUUGUGGUUGGUGUACAGGUGGUGCAUGGUUGUCGUCAGCUCGUGUCGUGAGAUGUUGGGUUAAGUCCCGCAACGAGCGCAACCCUUGUCUUAUGUUGCCAGCACGUUAUGGUGGGGACUCGUGAGAGACUGCCGGGGUUAACUCGGAGGAAGGUGGGGAUGACGUCAAAUCAUCAUGCCCCUUAUGUCCAGGGCUUCACACAUGCUACAAUGGUCGGUACAACGCGUCUUGCGAGCCUGUGAGGGUGAGCUAAUCGCUGUAAAGCCGGUCGUAGUUCGGAUUGGGGUCUGCAACUCGACCCCAUGAAGUCGGAGUCGCUAGUAAUCGCAGAUCAGCAACGCUGCGGUGAAUACGUUCCCGGGUCUUGUACACACC
rnacentral:rRNA from 1 species